UUAAGUGCAAAGAAAUGUAACUGAAUUGCCUUGUUGCUGAAAGGUGCAGUAGAAGUAAAGUUGCCUUGCCUUACUACCUCAGCCUGUCAGUCAGUAUUCAGGUCAUAGAAACCACUGUUGUGCCUGCUUGUCUCAGAGGAAGUGUAACGUCCACAGCACCCUGACUGCCUUCACCUCGUCAUUAAUAUCACAUCACGCUGUCUGCGUGAAGCUUUGAAUAAUUGUAACCACUUUAUCGGCACUGCCAUGACUAACUGUGACUUCAACAAAAGCAGAGCCGACGUAGUUUGCUCGACUGCAGCUCUGCCAGUGUGUGUGUAUGU